GAGCAAGCGUUGUUCGGAUUUACUGGGCGUAAAGGGCGCGUAGGCGGCCACCGCAAGUCAGUUGUGAAAUCUCUGGGCUUAACCCAGAACGGUCAGCUGAUACUGCGGGGCUAGAGUGCAGAAGGGGCAACUGGAAUUCUCGGUGUAGCGGUGAAAUGCGUAGAUAUCGAGAGGAACACCUGCGGCGAGGGCGGGUUGCUGGGCUGACACUGACGCUGACAGCGCGAAGGCUAGGGGAGCGAACGGG
rnacentral:rRNA from 1 species